GAACUGAAGAGUUUGAUCAUGGCUCAGAUUGAACGCUGGCGGCAGGCCUAACACAUGCAAGUCGAGCGGAUGACGGGAGCUUGCUCCUUGAUUCAGCGGCGGACGGGUGAGUAAUGCCUAGGAAUCUGCCUGGUAGUGGGGGACAACGUUUCGAAAGGAACGCUAAUACCGCAUACGUCCUACGGGAGAAAGCAGGGGACCUUCGGGCCUUGCGCUAUCAGAUGAGCCUAGGUCGGAUUAGCUAGUUGGUGGGGUAAUGGCUCACCAAGGCGACGAUCCGUAACUGGUCUGAGAGGAUGAUCAGUCACACUGGAACUGAGACACGGUCCAGACUCCUACGGGAGGCAGCAGUGGGGAAUAUUGGACAAUGGGCGAAAGCCUGAUCCAGCCAUGCCGCGUGUGUGAAGAAGGUCUUCGGAUUGUAAAGCACUUUAAGUUGGGAGGAAGGGCAGUAAG
rnacentral:rRNA from 1 species